GUGACUUUGGGUCAACCACCAGUAACCCCUUGCUGCUCCCUUCUCGAUGGGCUCGUUGACCUUGAGGCUGCAGUGUGCCUUUGCACUGCUCUCAAAGCAAACGUUUUGGGCAUCAACCUCAACCUUCCACUCUCACUCAGCUUACUUCUCAAUGUUUGCUCAAGGAAAGUUCCCCGUGAUUUCCAAUGUGCCUAAUAUAGCCUAUACACAACAUAUCAUAUAUAUAUAUAUAUAUAUAUAUAUAUAUAUAUAUAUAUAUAUAUAUAUAUAUAUAGCAUGUUUGAAAACUCGUUGAGGAUGGAGAAAUCAUGUCUGGGAUGUGUAAGCUACAACUAUUAGCUUCUUAAAAUCACAUCUAGAACAUGAAAAGUCGUAUCCGAAACAUGAAACCAAACAUGUUAAUCAUCCUAUCUACUUUUUCUUCGUGUUUGCUAGUUGUGGCUUUCCAUUUUUUUUUUUCAAAGUCUAUUGAUCAGCGUGUGAAUCUUGUACGUGCAUAGAGGGUUAACUUCUCGUUAUUCCUUCCUUUCCGUGUUCUUUAAAUUGUAAGGUUAGAGUGUUGCAAUAAAUUAAUAAAUAAGUUCCCGAUAUGCUUGCUUGUCUACGCAAGGGAACCAAAGAUGAUGAACUGUGUUAUUUGUUUGAUUGAGAAAUGAUCAUUAUAUGACAAAUAAUCGUUUGGAAAAUUAAUAAAUAUGUUGGGCACGUUUAUGAAGGGGGUCACUGAUGUAAUAGUACCAGAUUACGUAUGCAGGGGCUGAACAAAUAUGCUUGCUGGAUGCUGUGAGAUUUUAUAUAUGCUGCGUCAAUAGUUUAGGAGCUGGAGCAGAUUAUAUGUGUGUUGUGGGAUUUUGCAGGGUAGUGGUUCAUAAUGUAAAAGGGUUUGGUUACCCAUAUACCCUCUAUUAUAUAAAAUUUAUUUGGAUCAUAUAAAAAAAAUCCUUCUUAAUUUAUUUUUGCCCUUUCCUUUUGUAUUUUUGAAGAAUGAGAUCACCAACUGAUCAAAUAAAUUACUCGGCCGUUCUAUUUUACUAUCGUCCAAUUCCCUCGUCCCCAAAAAGAGGUCACUAACUGGCGACAUCCAAUUUAGUCCUCUAUUAAGGAGGAAAAAGCUGCAUACGAUUCGUUACCUUUUUUUACCAUGCAUGGUAUGAUCUAUUUAAGCCAUGCAUAAUAAUAAAAUUGUAUUUCAAGGUGUAUCUUUCGACUUAGUAGUGUUUUAGAUUUUGAUAAAGAUUAGACCGUGGACAUUAAGAAAUAGAGUUUAAUAUUCUUUUUCUGAUUCAAGUAUUGGUUGAAAAUGUAUAUUACGGGACGACAUAUUACUAAUCAAGUGUUAGUUGAAAAUGUCGGGAACACAAGAGAGUCCAUCAUAUUAUUAGUAACUUGUUGAACCAUGCAUUUCCCCUCAAUUUAAGAGAUCAAUGGAAGAAAAAACCAUCGACAUUCAAAUUACUUUUCCCGGUUAUAGUGACAAUAUAAUAAAUAAUAUAAACAAAUAAUAUAUUUUGAAUCACCUUAAUAUUAAAUGUAAAAUAUUUAUUUAUUUUAUUAAUGAUUAUUCUCCUUUAGAUAACCUUACAGGUCACCCAUUAAAUCUCUCUUUCCAUUUUUUUUAAUUAUAAGAUUUGAACUUCAAAUCCUACUUAAGGAAUUUAAAUCUAAUUUUACUCAAAUUAAUAACAUUUGUUAUUCAAACAUAUGAUGUAUUGAUUGUAUACAUAUUUUUAUAUAUUAAAAUUAUGCACAUCUAUAAAAUUUAUAUGACUAAAUUAUUGUUUUAAUUUUUUAUUUAUAGUUUUGGAGUCGGCAAAUAGAAAAUGGAGGAUUAUAUGGAGUGCUGUAUCUUGUGUUAUAUGGAACUGGAGGAACAACAUGGUGCUUAGAGGUGCAACCUUUCACCGGGAUAAAGUAAUCUAUGAAAUACUCUUUCAAAGCUGGUCGUGGAAUAGAUAGAUCUAGUGAGCACAGGAUUUUAGCUCCUUUGUACCGUGGGAAAUUGGUCCUGGGGAAUGCUUGUUAAUUUGAAAGGUAUCUUUAUUUUUGGCCUGAGUUCGUGGUGCUGAAAGCUGCGUAUCAGAUGCUUGUAGGAUUGCUUGGUGGAUUGUUUAUGGUCUGCUGCGGUUUGGCUGGAGUUGGUCCUUGUGGUGAGGUGCUGCUGUAUUUAGAGGUCAGGGGCGUUGGUGUUUGCUUGGUUAUGCCACUGGUUGGUUACGUGUGACUAGAAAUAUAUAUAUUGGGUAUAUGAUGGUCUUUAAUUUUCAUAGCUUCAAUCUUUUGAGUAUGCAAUUGUUCCUUGUACGUAUACUUCAAGCUUCAGGACUGUUUGAAGCAUAUAUAUUUUAGGUGAUUUUUGGUUCAGCUUUGUGGUUGGAUUUUCCUUUGUAUUAGCCACAAAGGACAUGUAUGUUUUAUUCUAUGUCAUGGCCCUACUUGUGCUGCUAUCUUAAUAAUAUAUGAGGUUCCAUUUGAUUAUUGAAAAAAAUAUUUUAAUUACCUUUUUUUAUUUAAUCGAUGUAAGUUGAUUUCUUUAUAAUAAAAGUUUUAAUUUAAUUCUUUAAUUUUCAAAAUCAUGUCAAAUUUUGUUAUUUUCAUCUAAUUGAUCAAAAUAUAUAAUCAUCAAAAUGGGUUACAAUCGACAAGCCACCCGAUCCAUCACAAAUUUGAAUCAGGUUGGAUUAUUUUUUUUCCAUUUCAUUUAUGUAUAAAAUAUGACCCACCUGACCUGUGCUGGGCUAUGUUGACUAGCGAACCAAAGACAUGUUAAUGCUACAAAAAAAACUCACUAGUCACACAGCACAACAAUUAUGAUUAGGCUUGACCUUUUUUUUCACUCUUUUUUCUUGAUUAAGUUAUUAUUCUUGCUUUCUUAUUAUUAAUUAGGCAAUUUUUUUUUUCCUUUUGAGCAACCCAUCUUCGACUGACUUGACCCACUUUGACAGCUAUAGGUGUUAGUGAAAUCUGACACGUGCCACUUUUACUCGUUUUAGCCACCAAUGCCAUUCUAAUCAAUUAAACAUAAAUGAUAAUAUUGAUGUAAUUUUUAAAAUUAAGGAAUUAGCUUAAAUUUUUAACAAUAAAAAGACCAAAUUGAAUAUAUAAAAUAAAAAUUGAGAAAAAAAGAGUAUUUUAGCCUAUUUAUAUUAAUAGUUUAAUUUUCGUAAAAAAAAUGCAUACAUAGACUAAUUCAAAACUUAUUUAUUAGAGUUUUAUUUUUGUUUAAUGAAGUGAUUUAAUAGUCAUUAUUUGCUUCUAUGAUUUUUGAAUAAAAAAUCUAUCAAUUAUUUUUUUAUACUUUACUUGAAAGAAUAAAAGUUAUUAUAUAUCAUCUAAAUUUUUGUUAUUAUUUUUAAAUAAGGUUUUAUUUUAAUGACCGUUUUUAUUUUAACAUAUGCAGUAUUACUAGAUUGUCGAAAUAAAUAUCUAAUUUUAAUUAAAAAAAACCUUUAAGAAACUAACGUACCGUUUGAUUUGAGUGUUUUUUUUUUCUAAAAAUAAUUUUCAUUUUCAAAUUUUUAAGAUUUAUAAAGCAUAUAUCAAAAAUAAAAUACUCUAUGGUGUUUUCAUUUCUUCAUAAAAAUUAAAAAUAUUGAUAUGUUGUUUUUAAUUUUGUGCCUAUUUUUAAAAAUAUUUUCAAAAAAAUACUUUCAAAAUUCUAAACAAAUGUAGUUUUAUUAUUAUUUUUUAUUUUCUUUAAAAAUAAAAACAGAAAACACUCCCAUCAAACACCACCGAAUUCUAAUUAGUUUUAAAUUAAUAAUUUAAUCGUUGCUAGUAUAGGCAAAAUAGCUAGUUGUAAUGUAAGGAUUUGAUUAAACAUGUAAUAAUUGCUGUUGGCCUAUUAGUUAAUGGUAAUGUGAGGGUUUGGCAGGCUGUCGGGAUAUACAUCAUCAUCAUUUUUUUUAACAGAGUUAUCGAUCGGAGUACUCUAGAAGGUCCAAAUUUAAAACAAAAUGGAUUUUCAAUCUUAUAGAGCUACACGAGAAUAAAUGCUAGUAAAGUUAUAAAUUGAAACUUAAUUAAAUAUACUGAAUAUAUAUACAUAUAUAAUAUAUCAUAAAAUUGAUCAAUUUUGUUAAUUUUUAUCGAUGAUAAUAUUUUUGUUUAAAUUUAAUUUUUAUAUGAUGUCAGUGUAAUUUUUUUAUAUUAACUAGUUAAAAAUUAUUCUACAUAAUUAUUAUAAAAAUUAACGAGCUCAUCAUUAAAAAUUUAAUGCAUUACAAUUAAAUUCUUCCUACUUUGUUGUUUAAAAUUUUAAAUCCAACCAAAUUGCUAUUGGCUCUAAUCUUAAAUGUAAAUAAAAAAAUAACUCAUAUAUAGUUAUUUAAAACAAAUAAAUUUUAACUUUUUUAAAAAAAAUUCUCCAAAACAUUUUUUUAUUUAAAUUUUAUCUCAAUAACCUCUUUAAUUCUCGUGAUAUGAAUUGCAUGACUUUCAGAAAGAAAGAAAAAAUUUCAAUAAAAAAAAGUUUCUAUUAAAAUAAUGUUUUAUAACAAUUAGCGUGUGAAGAGUAGUUUGAAUAAUGGACAUUAUUUUUUUAACAAAAUACAGAAAAUUAAAUAAAUUAAAACUCACUAAACUAUUCUGAAACAAUCAUCAUAUCCUUCAUCCGAGUGAAAUUUAACUUAAAUUUUUUAACUAAAAUAUGAAAUUUAAUAAUUGUCGCAAAAAAUUAUUUUUGGUGUAGUGACACUUUGUAGAUGAAAGAAAGUAAAGAAAUAAUUGAGAUGGGAGACUCUCAUAAAAGUGAAUCAUUCAUAUUAUUUAACAAAAAAAUUAAUUGUUAGUAAAAUAAAUGAAUAUUUGGUACUGAUAAUAUCAUAAAAAUUACCAUGAAUGUUUUUGAACAUAAAAAAUAGUAAAGAAUAUCUUACAUGAUGAUUUUGUAGAGAAGUUGUGGUCAAUUUACAGCCACAAUUAGUGAUACUUAGAAAUGGGACCCGCUAUUCCACGUGCAAAAGUUAGCAAUUGCAUAAUUCUGGGGGCUCCAACGAUCUUACGGUCGCGGAAUCAAGUUGCCCAACGGAUGCAAAACUUUGCUUCCCGCAGAUCCACCGAUUGAUGACAGUCCCUACAUCAACAAGUCACGAGCAUCCAAAAGUUAAGGACUUAAUUUUUCGCCAGCUAAAAUUCGAUCUCAUGUUCAUACAUCAUUAUUUCAUUAGCUUCAUAUUUAUUUAUAAAAUAAAUUAUGUUUAUUUUUUAUUGUCAAAAAUCAAAUACUGUACUUAAGGUAUUAUAUGUCUUUAUUCUUAAUUAAAAUUAGCAUUUCAUCUAGAUAAUUAUUCUUAAUUUUAGUUAUAAAUAAUAGUAAUUAUUAAAAUAAAAUUUUCAUUUUAUUGAAAAAUCACUCCAAUUAUUUUUAUAAUACCAUAUCUAGAUUUAAUUUAUUUUUAAGAGAAAAAUCACUCUCAUGCAUGCAUUCAUAUGUUCCUUUUAUCGGUAAUAUAUAAUACUUUUUUAUAUUUUUUAUUAAUAAAACUAAUCUAUCAUUAAUUAUAUCAAUUUUGUAAAUGUCUUUUAAUUUAAGCUUUAUAUUUUACCUAUAUCGUACAUAUAUAAUACAAGAACUACUUGCUAAUUUUUUAAUAGACUCCUCAUCAUAACCCCCUUCACUUCAAAACACCAUGAGCACUAUAUAAACUACCUUCCACAGCAAAUUACUCCCAUCCUCACAAACACUCUUCUCCUAAGCUCUAGCACUUAACUAGCAAUAUUAAUUAGCAUUUGCUAGAGAGACUAGGAGUAUAAACAUACCCCAGUUUAAGAUGGCUUCAAAAACUUGUUCCUCCCUUGCCCUUUUCCUCACACUCAACCUCAUUUUCUUCUCACUUGUUUCUGCAUGCGGUUAUACACCAUGCCCUGGUCCAAACCCAAAGCCAAGGCCCAACCCCAACCCUAACCCUAACCCUAGCCCAAGUGGCUCCUGCCCCCGUGAUGCACUCAAACUAGGUGUAUGCGCCAAUGUGCUAAACUUGGUGAACGUCACUUUGGGUCAACCACCAGUUACCCCUUGCUGCACCCUUCUCGAUGGUCUCGUUGACCUUGAAGCUGCAGUGUGCCUAUGCACUGCCCUCAAAGCAAACAUUUUGGGCAUCAACCUCAACCUUCCAAUCUCACUCAGCUUGCUUCUCGAUGUUUGCUCAAGGAAAGUCCCACGUGAUUUCCAAUGUGCCUAAGCUUAUACUAUCACAUAUCAUCUUAUAUCCUUCUUCUGCUUCGGGUUUGCUCUAGUUGUGCUUUUCCAUUUUUUAUUU
rnacentral:lncRNA from 1 species